UUUAAAUGUAAAUGUUUAUCAAAUUAAUAUAAGUUAUGUUCUUUAAAAUUAAAGAUUUUGGCGGUAUUUUAGUCUUUUCAGAGGAACCUGUUCUGUAAUUGAUAGUCCACGAUUUAAUGUACUUAUCUUAAUAAUUUGUAUAUCAUCGUAGUUGAAUAUUUUAAAAGAAAAAUAAUAUUCUAAAUAUAUUAAUUUAUAAGAAAUCAGAUCAAGGUGCAGUUUAUAGAUAAGAAGAAAUGGGUUACAAUAAAGAUAUUUAUUUAUGGUUUAGUAAAUUCAAAUUUAUUAAUAAAGUGGAUUUGAAAGUAAUUAAAAUUAAUUAAUUUUAAUGAUUAAGCUCUAAAAUAUGC
rnacentral:rRNA from 1 species